CAUAGCAGUAGGAGCUUAAAAAUAAGAUCAAACAAACACAACUUUUUUGGAAAACAAAAAAAAACCAACAAAUAUAAUUACAAAACGCAUAUCUAGAGUACUCCAGCACUCCAGAUUUUAGUUUAAGUAAAAAGUGCAGUUUUCAAAAAAGAAGCCAAGAGCUCGAGUGUUUGCGAAGGACCAUAAUCAACUGAUAGCUAGACAUCCGAAUUGGACCAAAUAUAAAUCGGGACAAAUUGGAAUUAAAAAUAAUUAACACAUCAUACACCUGUAACUCCUUAUACAACAUAAUACACUCGGAUACGUAAUACAUACUACAGACCCAACGGAGAUCAAUGCAACACUAGACUAUGGAAAAAACACAUGUGCAAUCGCGUUACACAAUGAAACACCAAGUAUAUCCAUAUCCAUAUUCACGUCUACAUAAUAUCGAUGCUCAUUCACGUUACACUUUCAGUAACAUUUUGAAACAUCGGAGGACUGGAAUCGACUGUAGUAACACUACUUGUGCAUAACACUAUACAACACUGUUACACUGUUACAUAUAGCUUUUAUACUAAUAGCUUGUUCGGUAACACUCGUCGCAGGAGUGGAAUAAUCGACCAUAACACUGAACACUUGAAAAAACUACCUGUGCAAUCGCGUGACUCUCAUCAUUGUCAACGGUUUCAUCAUCGGAGAAGGAGCGGAUUAAUCGACGGUGGUAACUUUUGUUUGCCUGGCACUCAAUUUACGAAAAGCCGAAGCCUUAAAUAUAUAUUUUGUAAGGA
rnacentral:sRNA from 1 species